UCCCGUGUGGCUCAGUUGGUAGAGCCUGGUGUUUGCAACGCCAGGGUUGUGGGUUCGAUUCCCACAGGGGAC
rfam:Salmo salar isolate Sally breed double haploid chromosome ssa25, whole genome shotgun sequence.